AUGUGCUCUGCUUUUGCCCUCGUCACCGUGUCUCUCGGAAGUUAUCUAAGCUCGUUCAUACUGACCCUAGUGUCAUAUUUCACGACGCGAGGGGAACAGAUGGGGUGGAUCCCUGAUAACCUUAAUGAAGGCCAUCUUGACCGCUUCUUCUGGCUCGUAGCAGGCCUCAGCUCUCUGAACUUCCUUGCUUUCAUUUAUUUUGCACAGCGAUAUAAGUGCAAGAAAGCUUCUGUACUUUAAUAUAUUGCUUCUGUUUCAUUUUCUCUUUGCUAUUGUUUAUUGUGCAGUGAGAUGUAUGUAUAUUUCUUAAGUCAACCAGCUGCAAUGUACAGUCUUUUGUAAUGUACUGUUGCAACUUGCAUCCUCUAUGAUGCUUGGAUGGAUUACUCUCUCUCUGUUUUUUGUAACUUUGACAGUGAGAAUAGUUUACUCUUUACUCUUCCGUUUUGUUAAUGAAGCAUGUAACCAUGUCGGACAUUCAGUUGCUCACCCCAAGUAUCUAGGAUCUCUUUCCCGAUUACAAACCUGUAAUGGUGGGUAAGCAUUUUAGUGCGCUCGAGUGCUUGACUUGACGCAUUACAAAUUAUAAUCGUCCGAGAUCAACUGAUUUCCUGAAUUUAUUGUGGAAGCAUAUUGUGGAACAGUGAUUAGGAUCGGUGCGCUGCUAGUGGCCAGAAUUCAGGAAACCGGAACAUCUUAUAAAAAGCAACGGAAUGAGUAUUUUGUGACGCCGAUCAGCACCGGGUCAUUACAAAUUCAUGAAUGGCACUGCAGGAAAAAAAACAAGGAUGUUUUGCCAAUACACAAGUUCGAGAUAAGAUGGCGACCAAUAACCCACUCUGCAGGAUAAAAUAGCAGCAGAUAAGCUUGUUUCGCCGUCACUAGUUUGUACUAUUCCAAACAAAUCUCCAUUCAUUUAGGCUUCAAAGUUUUCUUUGAAGGAAACGGCCCUCGGAGAGCUACCAGCCUACCAACGCCGCAUUCAUGGGGUCGUCGUCCCUGGAGGAGCUCGAGGACGGGCAGCAGAUCUUGCUAGUGCGCGCGGCGCAGCCGGACCCGGAGGUACGCAGUACGCCCGUCUUCUCAUCUUCCAUCCAUGAAAUUUCUGGUCGUUCUACUUGUUUUGUUUGUUUCAUCAAGAAUCAAAGAAUCCCUAGGGUUUUUGGUUCUCUAAAUCCCCUCUAGUUUCUUGUUUCGGUUGUGUAUUCUGAUCGAUUGUAAUUCGUAACAGCGCUUUAAUUGGCCACAAUACAAUCGCUAGAAAAAGAGGAGGGAAUAUACAUCGAUUGCCCAGUCCCUGGAUUAUUGAGUUCGAGUAAAGCUCGAGUGGAUUGCCUUUUUUUUUUUUGAGAAUAAGCUCGACUGCUCGAGUGGAUUACCAGGGCAACUUUUUACGUGUAACUUUCUUUUCAUAGGCCUGAACGGAUGAGGCCCGUGUGGCCCAGAAUUGCCGAUCGCAUCUCCAGACGUCGGCCCCAUCGUGAAACAACGCAGCGCCGCCCUGUUCUGUGCCGUCAACUCCCCGGCUGCCACCAUAGAUCUCUCCCUCGUCUGCUCGUCAGGGUCGCCGCCAUGCACGCCCGCUUGAACCCCCUGCGUUUGACUGAGAGGAUUGCACCGCAUUACACCGCUUGACCGGACCGCUGCUUGAUCCCUCCUACCCGGCCGUGCACUAAAUUCACUUGCCGACGCCAGUAGCUUCGUGCCGAGGGGGGUAGUGUCGCGGGGACGCUAUAGACGAAGCAUCCGGUACUCAUGCCGGUGAGCAGGAGCGCGAAAUUUCUGGACUGGGAAUUGGCAAUGGGGCGGCUGGGGCCUGGGGCGUUCUGCACUGCGCCGGAGCACCGGAAACAGAGUUGGUCUCGUCGUCUCACCGAGGAAGCUGGCGGCAACUGUUCAAUCUGUACUGACUUGGGCUUCUAUUGUUGCAAGUUUUUUCUUCCGAUUUUGACCUUGAAAGCACUACUGCUCUUGUUUACUGCUCAGGUUUUGACCACCAGUAUGAAUUAGUAUAGAUCGUUGGAUCCACAUCAGUAGACGGCUCAUAGCGAAUUGGAGGUACCAUAAAAGUCCCAUGGAACACACACUCUAUUCUGAGGAUUGUAGGUCGGUUGACCUGUAGUCGAGGAUUUAAAAAGUGAAUAAAUCGGUUUGCCCUGAAACUAGGUUUGCUUGUUGGCAUGAACUUUGCUGAGUUGUUUUAAUACUUGAGAGGUCUGAUGGUUAAUUUGACCUAAGUUCUUCCAUGGUUUGAUUGAAACACAUGGAGUGGAAUUUAUUACACACAUGUUUGACUGAAUGUUAAUGAUGGAAUGCUUUAGUUAUAUUCUGGAUACUGUCUUUUCGGAUCAAGUUAUCCGCGAAAGGGUACCAUCAAGGUAUUUGUCAGUGAGAUAUUUGAGGUACCACAUAAUGAAAAUAGAUAUGUAAUAUUUGUAGUUAUAUGCAUCCAUAGUUCAAACGUGUAAUGACUCCGUACUAACUUACACUCACAGAAAGUAUAUUCUGUUAUUAUUAGUGUUCUUAGACUAUAGUGGUGAUAAUCUCGUUAAUUCGUCGUCGGUUUGUAGACCGGUAAGCUGUGCUGGUUUGGGCAUUUUGGAUCUCCGCAUCAUCACCACUGGCAGGUUAUGUUGGAUGUGGCAUUGUCGAGUUGCAUCUGAAAAACCGGGGUCAUUUGCCCCUCCCUUAUGUUUGCACUGAACGGGCAGUAUAUUUUUAAUGCCCAUGUCAAGGUUCAGAUUGGUGAUGGGAAAAACUCCUUUUUCUGGGAGCACAAAUGGAUUGAUAGCACUUCUAUUGAAGAGAUUGCCCCGACCUAUACAAUAUUCGAUUCCCCCGGCUGUUAGAUCAUCAAGGUCGGUCGCAGAUGCCCUUCAAAAUUCUGGUUGGUUAUUGCACAUUCGCAAGCCUUUACCGAUCUCUACUUUUAAACAAGUUCUAGAUUGUUCAUCUAUGGAGUCAACUAUUAAUUUCAAAUAUUCAGUGAGGCAAUUUGCCAAUUUAUGUUCUUUUUGUUUUGUUCAACAGUUUUGCAUACUUCUUUUUUCCCUGACUUCGAUGAUGAUAUAGAAAGCUCCCACUUGUCAAAUGAUUUGCAUAUCACAAAAGGAGCAGCGAACCCUAGCGCCCCGCGAGCCGCUCCUGCGACUCACGGGGCGAUACCCCGCCGCCACCCCCAACCACCCCCUCCUCCGCCCAUCCCUCUCCCUGCCGCUGCCGUCGGCGGCCGCCGGCCGGCCCGCGGCGGCGGCAGGGCCUUCCAGCCGCUGUCAUCCCAUCUCCUCCUCUCACGCCUCUUCUCUCCCCUCUUCUCCCACGCGCGGCGGCAUGUUUCCGGUGACGGGGGCCAGAUACGUGGCGGCCUGGGUCCGGCUCGAGGAGGUGCUAGCGCGCGGUCCUCGCGCAGCGACCUGUCUGGCGGCAGCGGCCCGGUCUGUGGCGGUGCAGCCACGACUCCGGCGGGAGGGCUCCGACCGGUGGCGGCGCGGGCACGGGGGCCAGCUGCGCGGCGGCCUGGGUCCAGCUCGCGGAGGUGCUGGCGCGCAGUCCUCGCGCGGCAGCCUGAUUUCAGCGACAGCAGCCCGGUCUGUGGCGGUGUGGCCGCGACUCCGGCGGGAGGGCUCUGACUAGUGGCGUCCAGGUUUGGCAUUUUCUUGGUCCUGCGAGCGCCGCUGCUGCUGGUGCCGCGCUGUCGGUUGGACAGUGCACCCAGCGCCGGCAGGGUGCUCCGACGUGCAUCACUGCUGUUGCUGGGCGGCAGGCCGUGCUUUCGAGGGUCUGGUUGGAGGUUACGGGGGGUCUCGGGAGAUGGCUCAGGAGGCGUGCUUGGUGCGUGUUGGCCGGCUUGGCUGGCCACACGUGGUUGGCCGGUGCCCGGAGGGAAGCGGGUGUUGGUGUGUGGCCUGAUGUGGUCGUCGGCGUCGCUGCAGGUUGUGCGGCGCGCUCCUCUGCGCCCAUCCGACGGCACCCCGUGCCUUGCAGCUGGCACUUCGCCGAGCUCUAGCUUGGGGUGUUGUCGUGUGCACUGGUAACUGCAAAUCUGGGCGUUCCUGCCGCGGGUCUGGGUUGGCUUGUGCACAGGCCAUUUGGGCCAUGUGCCAACUCCUUCCGGAGUUGGGAUUGUGGCCAGUGCGUGCGCCUUGUUGCGCGACAUGUGGUGGCCUUUGAUGGUCAGACGGUGGGCCAUCUAGGUUCUUGCACUUGUGGGUUGUCGGCGUUGCUUAGACUUUGUUGUUGUACGGGUUGCCGCGGGUACUUUUGUUUUGUCGUGGUGCUCCGGGCGAAAACCUAGCCUGAGCUUCUUUGGUGCCAACGACGGCGACACUCUAGGGCGUCGUUCCCUCCUUGGUGGCGUCGUCGAGGAGCCUCGACCAACCUCCAUCCCCUGUGGUCCAAUCCUUCGGGUGAAAAGCCAGAUUUGGCUAGCCAAAUCGGAUGACGGUGGCGUUGUUGACGUCACUCCCUUGUUGGAGGCGUUGUUCUUGGAGGAUAACACUUGGCUGGAGUUUGUUUCCGCGGAAUAUGCCUUGGCUCCAGCAAGCAGGCCUUGGUCACACUGGCAUCGGGCAAGUGCGCUACCUUGGACGGCACGGUUAGUGGUUAGCGGAGGAUCCCAUGCUACGGCAUCUUGGUCGCAUGGGUGCACUCGACAGGUAUCGACCGACGAAGCUGGACGUUUGUUAUGACCAACAGGGGAGCGGUGAGAUAUGGCGGCGCAAUGUUCGGGAUGAGCGCGACGAUCGGCGCCCCGAGGCUUCUGCAGUUGACGAGACGCCUCACGGGCUUAUCUUCGAGUUCUGCGAGGCUGGCGGGCCGCGGCGCCUUCGCUAUCCUGUACUUUUGUGUUUUUGGCAUUUAGGCCUGUGGUUGUUUAAUGGCGUUGGUUGUAAUGAUAGUUUAGCGGUCGUUGGUCGUGUUCUUGUUUUGAGUGAUUGGUUGUGUUGGCCUGUUCUUGGGCUUGUAAAUACUUUCUUUCUAUCAAUGCAUCGAGACGCAAGCUUUGUGUUUUCUCGGAAAAAAAAUGAUUUGCAUAUCAAUCAUUAAUAACUUUCUCUCCUCACAGAAUUUGGAUGAAUACACAGGCGAUGGCUCGGUUCAUUUCAGAGGUCACCCUAUUUUAAAGCAUAAUACAGGCAAUUGGAGAGCAUGCUCAUUAAUUCUUGGUAACAGUUCAUCUAGAGCUCCCCAUCGAGGAACAAUGUGACUAUUGUUUUUUCUUUGUUAGGGAUGAAACCAUUUAGAUUGUUCAUAUCCUCGUGAGAAUAUCUUUACAAAAACAUAUUCAGAUUUGAUCUGCAAAAUUUAUGCUUGCGAUUCAUUGAAUUGGAACCCUUUUCAGUUUAAAGUCUAUUUCAGCAUAUGUCAGCUGAAGACUCUAUGUUAACACGGAACUAUUUUAUGCCCUAAACAUGAGAAACAUAAGCUUUUGUACUCUAUGAUUAUGUCAAAGGUUAAAUUCAAUUGAUAUUUAUUUAUUUCUUACAUGAUAGGAACUGAAGUGUGUGAACGUUUGGCCUACUAUGGGAUCUCAAAGAGUUUGGUCACUUACCUUUCAACAAGACUACAUCAAGGCAAUGUCUCCGCAGCUAGAAACUUCACAACUUGGCAAGGAACUUGUUACCUCACACCACUUAUUGGAGCAACCUUAGCAGAUUCAUACUGGGGAAAGUACAGGACUAUUGCAGUUUUCUCAACUAUUUACUUUCUUGUAAGUUGCAACUAACCAAAUACAAAAAUGCACCUUAAGAAAUUCAUACUCAUAGAGAGAUCAAUUUUUUUUCUCAAGGAGGGCAUCCCCCGGCCUCUGCAUCUUUCGAUGCACACAGCCGCAAUUUUAUUAAAAAUGCCUUACAAAAGAAGUGUUCAUCAUUCAGAUAUACAAGCCAAGAGUGGCCAGCAGCUCAUGUACCACAAAGCCUGUUAUUAGCACAACACUCAAAUAGCUUGAACAAGUCCAGUGCAAUCAUCUCCAAACAAUUUCACCCGUUGUCCAUAGAAUCCUGCAGGUCCACAUGCUGCAUUAGGGACCAAGUACAGAUCCAAUCCAAUGUGGCGUUAGAUGGAUAACCUCCAAUUUUUUUGUUAAAGCAAGAUCACUCCGACAAUUCCAUAUAGACCAACAAACAGCUCAUGCACCCGUCAGAAUAAGCGAUUAACUGGUCUACUUAACCCCGUAAUCCACCUCCCAGACAUAGUCCAGAUAUUUGUCCCUUUUUCAUUGGUUCACUUGAAUGAGUUGUGUAUUAACGUUUCAUGGUUUGUACAUGUUAAUGAAUCAAGUGCCUAGACAUGGUGCUAUUUGCAUUGGUAUUUCUUCAUGGAUGAGAGGUUAGGGAGCAUAUAUGACUUAUCUCAGGACUAAGAUUAUGAUCAUAUGUAUAGUAGUGAGUUCAGAUAUAUUUCCCAACAUGAUAUAUAACUAGCCUAUUUGUCCUAGUUGUGAAUCUCAUGUCCGCCUACAUGCUUGUACCUGCUGAUAUAUUGUGCUAAUGACUCCUUGAUGUGCAUUUGAAUUGAAGGGGAUGGCAGCAUUGACACUUUCGGCAUCAGUUCCUUCUCUCCAGCCCCCUCAAUGUAUUGGGUCAUUUUGUCCACAAGCAAACCUACAACAGUAUCUUAUAUACUUUAUUGGACUAUACAUGAUAGCUUUAGGGGCUGGAGGUAUCAAGCCAUGUGUUUCAUCCUUCGGUGCUGAUCAAUUUGAUGAUACUGAUCCAGUCGAGAGAACAAAGAAAGGCGCUUUCUUCAAUUGGUUUUAUUUCUGCAUAAGUAUUGGUUCAUUGAUCUCUGGCACUGUUCUCAUUUGGGUACAAGAAAAUUGUGGAUAUAGUAUUGGAUUUGGAAUCCCUACUUUCUUCAUUGCCUUAGCUAUCGGAAGCUUUGUUCUCGGUUCAGAGAUAUAUAGAUUUCAGGUACCUGGAGGAAGCCCGCUUACAAGAGCAUGUCAAGUAGUUGUUGCGGCCAUUCGCAAGCAAAAUGUUGAUUUGCCAGUUGAUAGUUCUCUUCUCUAUGAGUGCCAUGGUAAGAUGUCGGCUAUUGAAGGGAGUGGCAAGCUGGAGCACAGUAGUGAAUUCAGGUACUUUUCUUGGCUAUUCCUGACAAUCAUUUGCUGCACAAGAUGUUAUUACUUAUACCAAAUUAAUGUGGAAAAAACAUCCCGAUAGUGUAGUUCAGAUUGCUAUUUUUAGAUUAAAAACAUAUCUUUUGAAGUUCAAGAAAAUAAAAGAUAAUAAGUAUUAAAAUGUAACAAAGUUGGCAUAGAUUUGCUAAGUAUGUUACUUUUUUAUCUGGCUUGACAUGCCUGCAAGCUUGUAUCUUGGGACUUCCUGGACACAGCAACGUUUUUAGAGAACCAUGACAGAGGUAAACCUUACACGAGAUGUGAGUACUCUGCAAAGAAAGACUUGCAUAUCCCCUGACGUGAUGCAUUAUCUUUCCUUUGCAGUUUCCUUGAUAAAUCUGCAGUCAUUUUGUUGAGUGAACAUGGCGGUUGUCAUAAUCCUUGGAGGCUUUGUACUGUCACACAGAUUGAAGAGCUAAAAAUACUGAUCAGGAUGUUUCCAAUCUGGGCAACAGGCAUCAUGUUCUUCACCGUGUAUGCGCAGAAUUCAUCGAUGUUCAUAGAGCAAGGAAUGGUCCUCAACAACCAAGUUGGAUCUUUUAAAAUCCCGCCAGCUACUCUCUCCUCCUUGGACACGAUCAGCGUGGUUGUUGGGAUCCCUAUCUACGAGAGACUCAUCGUGCCGGUUGCCAGGAGAUUGACCGGUAAGGAGAGGGGAUUCUCAGAGCUUCAACGCAUAGGGAUCGGUCUGUUCGUGUCGACCAUCGCGGUGAUAGUUGCAGCAUUGGUCGAGGUCAAGCGCCUGGAGAACGCGAGAACUGAGGGUCUGAUCCAUCAGAAUGUGCCUAUUCCCAUGAGCAUUCUUUGGCAAGCUCCUCAGUACCUGCUGGUCGGCAUUGGCGAGGUGUUCACGUCCAUCGGACAAGCUGAGUUCUUCUACAACCAGUCUCCUGAUUCCAUGAGGAGCCUGUGCUCGGCUUUUGCCCUGCUCACCGUGUCUCUUGGAAGCUAUCUUAGCUCGUUCAUACUGACCCUAGUGUCAUAUUUCACGACGCGAGGGGAACAGAUGGGGUGGAUCCCUGAUAACCUGAACGAAGGCCAUCUUGACCGCUUCUUCUGGCUCGUAGCUGGCCUCAGCUCUCUGAACUGUCUUGCUUUCAUUUAUUUUGCACAGCGAUACAAGUGCAAGAAAGCCUCUGUACUUUAAUAUCUUGGCUUCCCUUCGCUACUGUUUAUUGUACAGAAAGCUGCAUGUAGAUUCCUUUCAUCAACCAGCUGCAAUGUACAGUCCCUUCUGUACUGUUCAGUUGCAUCGUCUGUGAUGCUUUUUUGAAUGUAGCAAAGCUGGAAUGUACAAAAGAUUACAAUUAGGGUGUCAUCUCACUAUUAGCUACUCCGUACUAAAAGUUCCAGCUUAUGGUGAGUACCAUCUCCUUUUCUUAUGACCUUUAGAAGAGAGGCGUGCCACAACUUCUUCCUUCCUCUUUUUUUUUUUUUGACCAGUACUUCUUCCUUCCUCUGUGAUGGUUGGAUAAAACUUUUUUAUAUCAACUUGGACGGUGGGAACAUUUUACUGUAUUUCCUUUUCUUAAUGAAGCAUGGAACCACGUGGAAGCACGUAGUUGGCUUGCACUAACACACAUGUUGUCUUAAUCAUUUCAGACUUUCAGUUGCUCACCUCAAGUAUCUAGGAUCUCUGUCCUGAUCACAAAUAUGUAAUGGCGGGGAAGCAUUAUUGUGCACUCGAGUUGCUUGAACUAACGGAUUACAAAUUGUAAUCCUGCGAGCUGGAACCAGGAAACCUGUUAUAUCGACCAUUCCAGUUGCUGAUCUCGAUCUUGGGAUCUUGGAAAGUACACAAGAUCAACUGAGUAUUGUGGAAAAAUGACUAGGAUCGGCGUGCUGCUAGUGCUCAGAUCUGGACACAGCCGUUACAGCUAUCUAUCGAAACAGCGGUGGGGUAGCACUACGGUCCCCUAAGUUGCUUUCUCUAUUUACUGGUAAAAAAAAAGUUGCUUUCUCUAUUUCAAAAACAAACCACUUUCGAUCACUUUAUCUGGACACAAGUACAUGCAUCUUUCUUAUUCCUGAGCUAAAAAUUUCCUGUUAACACGAUCUAUCAUUAAUUGAAUUACCAUUUGCGGUUUGAUUCCCCACAUACAUGUUGUUUUACAUUUUGACGGCCUAUGGUGAUACAAUUUUAACCAUUAUUUUCCAUACAAAUAUGAUUAGUUAUAUGUAAAUGAUAAAACUAUUUACUUGUGAUGAAUAAAGUGACCAAUAUAGAUUUUUAUAUAUUAGUAGUCGAUGUUAGAAAAGUUCACUCGCAUAAAAAAAGUUUGACUGCACUUAUUCUUUCCAAUCGAUGCUUUAUGAUUGCCGGUAGGUAUUUACACACCAAAGAAGGAAAACCUCAUUAUGAUGUUUUGGUACAUAAUUAGAGAGUUUCCAAGAAAUAAUUAAAUCUAUAUGUUGAUGAAUCAUAUCAAAACCUCGUGUUCCAUUCCUCUAGCGACCACUUCUAGCAGGAGCAAUUAUUUUAUUUGCAGUUGCAAGAGUAAAUUAUAUCAUAGUCCUAUUAAAAUUGACGAGGUGUCCAGUUACUCCUAAAAUUACAAAAUUGCAUAUUUGGGUCCUAUUUUUAUUUAAGUUGUUCGCCGCAGGUUCUAAAUCACCCGAGAGACGCUAAGUGUCCCACGUGACGUUUUUACUACUGACACAGGAUCCCACAUAGGAUGACUGAAUGCAUAAACAUUAUGCAAAAAAUCCCUUGCUAAGGAGAUCGAUUGCAUUGACGGCACUACUACAAAACAGUGCAUAUGUGACGAGACAUCAGUGACGGGCCUUUCGUGCCCGUCACUGAUGACCGUCAUCAGUGACGGGCCUACCAAGACCGUCACUGAUGACACACCAUCAGUGACGGUCGCGUGCUUGCCCGUCACUGAUGCCCCCUCAUCAGUGACAGGACCCCUCAUCGGUGACGGGCGCACACCACCCGUCACUGAUGACCGCUCAUCAGUGGCGGGCGUACCAUGCCCGUCACUGAUGACAACUCAUCAGUGAAGGACGCACAACACCCGUCACUGAUGAACCCUCGUUAGUGGCGGACGUACCACGCCCGUCACUGAUGAAAAAUUGCAAAAAUCACAAAAAACACACACAUCAGUGGCGGGCUCUACAUCUAGGCCCGCCACUGAUGACCUUGAAGACCUUUAAAAAUUGAAAGAAAUCAUAACUAAUUCAUGAAAGAUCAGAAAAAUGUGAUUCUUUGUUAUGAAGUCUUUUUUUUUGCUUAACAUAGUGGAAUAAUAAUAUCAUAUGGUAACAUUUGAAAAAUGACAUAUGUAGUGCAAUCUUGUUAUUUCCUAUACUUGGACUUUAGGUUUUAAGCCAAAUGACCAAAAUUUUGUCGAUUUUUGACCAUUUAUAUGCCACAGUUCAUGAUAAUGUAUUCAUUUUUUUCCACAAAGGUGCAUCUUCUGAUGACAAACAACACUGCCAAGGAUCUUUACAAACGUGUGGUUUUAAAUCCGAUUUUCCAUUUUUCAAAUACAAAAAAUUAUAUUUGGACCCAUUAGUGACGACUGUUACAGUUGUGCCCGCCACUGAUGUUACUCUGGGCCAAACCUGAGGCCCAACCCACCUCUUUCCCUGUAAAAGCUAACCCUAACCCGGUCACAUGUAUCUCUCUCCAUCCCUCCCUCUCUACAGCUGCCACCCCUCCACCUCCCCCGAUCUCUUCUCUUUCCCCCAUCGGCCCCUCCUCUCCCUCCGUCUCCCCCGACCACCUCCAUCUCCCCUGAUCUCCUCAACCUCUCCCUCUCUACCGCCGCCGCCACCACUCCACCUCCCCCAGGUCUCUCUCUGUAGCGGGCCGGCGAGGCGUAGCCUGUACCCCGCCGCCUGCCGCAAGCACGGUCGCGCCCCCGCCCCGAAGCCCGCCGGCAGCUGCUCGCCUCGCUGCCCUUGCGCCGGAUCCGAAGAGGCCGCCGCCCCCGGUAUGCAUCUCUCUGUCUCUCCCUGAAUUCUUUCUAAAGUCUCUCUCUCUUUCCUAGCCGAAUCUCUCUCUCACUUCUAAGAUUCGUCUUUUUUGCAGAGCCACGUUGUCGGAGAACGGGAGAUGAGGAAGCGGGAGAAGGGACGAGGAGGCGGCGCAUGGCCCAUGCUCGAGUUCCUCCGGCGGGAGAAGGGAGGAGGAGCCGAUGGCCGGGACUAGCUAGGAUUUGAGUUUUGUUCUAGUUUUUGUACUAGGGUUUCUGUCAAAAUUGUUGUUCAAUCCGUGCUCUGUGUUCAUGCUUACCUAUUUGUUGUGAUUUGUUGCAUCAUUUGGUUAAUUGGUUAGAUUUGUGAUAUGGAGAAGCGAUGAACGUGAGGGCCGGGAGGGCCAUUUCUAUUAUUUUUUUAUUUUUCCAAAACCUAUAUCAGUGUCGGUUGUAUUUGGUGCCCGCCACUAAUGAGUUACGCAUCACCAACGGGCAGGCCGCCCGUCACUGAUGCAUAUCAGUGACAGGAAGUUAGUGAUGGGCAGCUCGCCCGUUACUAAUAUGCUUUUUCGACCGUUACUGAUAACCAUUUUUGUAGUAGUGCGGCCCCUCUCAUCAUUCAUGACCCCUCAUAAUGUUGCUUGUGGCGGGGUCAGUUGGUACUCUUCUCCCUUCUUCUUGCCUGUUUUCCUUGCGGACGAGUUAGCGUGCAAGCUCCUAUACAUGGUGGUGGAGGAGGAGGACAGACAUGAGAGGAGAGAAGAGGAAGAUGAUGGGGGCGGAGGGGUGGAGAGUGGCGGUGUAGCUUUCUAUGAUGGUGGUGGUGGUGUGUAUGUGUGGGUGGGGGCGGGGGGGGGGGGGGUCCAUGCUGGACCCAGGCCUUCUGUUUGUUCCGGUAUACGAUCGAAAGAUCGUUUGGAGAGAAAAAAAAACGUUUGGGACUUACUUGACACUUCGCCAACAAUAGUACAAUUGCAUAUGCAUUUUACACUAUUUGCAAUGUUAUGCAUCCAAAUGCUCAUACAGAUAAUCAUUAUACUCCAUCUUCCUCCGUCGACUGCCCAUCUAGUGUGAUCGAUGUAUUUUAUCGGUAUAGCAACAUGAUCAUGGUCUCUGAUUUUUAUUUUUUAUUAUAAAGGAUAAUGGUCUCUGAUUUGGUUGCAGGCUUGCUGCAACAACGGACCUUCAAUCUACCUUCUGAUAUAUAUACAUGCAGUCCUUGAAAAGAAAAACUUCAAAUGAUCCAAUUACUACGAUUGAAAACAAAAGAUUUUUUUUAUGUUUUUUUUCUUUGCAGAAGUUACUGUUUUUUUGAUUAUUCACUAGCCACACAAAUUUAGGAAAAAAAAUUUAAUACAUGAGUUAUUAUUGUCCGACAAAAAUCGCUUAACGUUAGUGUUUUUUUGUUUACUACAGGGACUUUUUGAUUCACAUGAUUACUAAAACAUAGGGGGGAAAAAGGGGGGGGGGGGGGGAUGCAGGAAUGAGCGAAUGGAUAUUUUUGUCCAAAUUGGUGUGCAAAAUAAUAUUAAGAAACAUGAUAGAUAUACUAGAAAAAUCUCAUAAAAAGGCAAAGCAUUCAACCUUCAAUUUAAGAGAUUGAAAAUAACAUUGCUCAUUAGAUCAUGUCAACAACAUUGCCUUUGGAAUUGGGAAAACUUACCUACCUACCAGUACCUUUAAAAGUAGUACUAGCUAAGUGGACGCGUUGUAUCAUUUUUAUUUUUCAAAUGUUUUUCACGUAAGGAACCUGACAUUCUUCUCUUGGACUUUUUCCCUUCUUUAAUGGGAUCCUAUUUUCUAAAUGUGUAUGGAAGAGUAAGUACCGUGUCACUACCAACUAUAUAAGUAAAGAGAUUGUAGUAAAUACUUUUUACAUAAAAAAUGUGCCUUUCUUCUUCUGGACUAUUUUUCCUCUUUAUUGGGCCCUAAUUUUCAGAAAACCUGAUGUUAACUGUAUACAUGUAAGGAGUGUGCUAAUUGUACACACGUAAGAAAUGUGCUAACUGUAUUAGUUUGAGGAGCCAUAAUUUUUUAAACUUCAAAGUUAGCAUUAAACCCUACUCCCUCCAUCCCAUAAUAUGAGACACGCACGCAUUUCUAAAUUGUCAAUUUAACUAACAAAAUGUGAAUUAAAUAAUUAAAAAAAUUAUAUCAUUAAAAAGUUCUUUCGACAAUGAAACUGAUGGUGGUUUUUGUUAAGAGAAAUACAUAUUUAAUUAAUCAAACCAAUGAUUUAGGAAUACGUGCGCGCCUGAUGGAGGGAGUAAUUUUUUAAUGCGUGGAAGAAGAUGUACCAUUGCCAGAACUACUAUAAGUUAAAGACUCCUCCUAACAUAUUGCGCUCAUCCUUUCCCAUUCCUCCCUGCAUGCGCCCGUCCAAAUGCUAUUGCAGGCCAUGCCCAUGCAGUUGUAGCAGCACUCGCCAGUGCAUCAAAACGCCGGCCGACGGUUGACGGUCGUGGACGGGCAGGCGAGGCGGCUGAUUUCGUGCAUGUACGACCAGCAAGCAUCAGGCGUCAAAACAAAUAUCCGGAUCAAGAACUCUAUGGAUCAAUCCAUGGGUAUAGUAGACAAGGUAAAAAUGAUGGUUGCUUGCCAAUCGUGCAUAUUUGAUGUGUGGUCUAUCCUAAAUCUGAUUUCUCCAGGUUUCACGAGCAGAAAAGUAUCGGGCAAUGCUAUGCUUUCUUAUGAACUUUUUUUAUGGCGUAUGUCCAUUCUUUUAUAAUUAAUUUGUUGCCAUUACUCGUACCACACUUGAACAUUUUGGUAGAUCAGUACAAAUUAAUACUCGUUCGGGCGGUUCCCAAAAUGAGCUGUGGUCUCAUGUACAAACUAAUCAUUAUAUCGCGCAAUUCCAGCCUCAAGCAAAUUGAGUGGCUAGAUAAAUUGGGGAACGAAACAAAAAUAACUGCACUGUUGAUUCUCUCGGUAGGCAAAUAUAUAUGUUGAAACAGAGUUUCCCGAGGCUAUUUAGGAAAAAGAUGGGAGUUUUUUAGAAUAGAGGGAGCAAAUGAAAGGUAGAAAUAUCUGGACAAGGUAAUAUGGCAAUUGUCACUGUUUAGUUGGCCCGCCUGUCAAACGAGAACACAUUUUUGUUUGCUUCACUGUGGACAAAAAAAAGUUCUCCAUUCAAAGAUCAUCUAGAACUUCAAAUAAUGGUUCUACUAGCACCGGAGCAAAUAUGCAUAUAAUGUAGUGCGUUUUUAACUUUAUGUUCGCCAUCCGAAGUCCUCCUUACAUGUUGACAAACAACAUAUUUGUUUCUAAUGACUCUACAUUGAUCUUACAUCAACGAUUGAUGAUCUAAUUUUAACCUCACUGUUGAUCUAGCAUCACAUAAUUUUUUUUCUAGAUUAUGAUAUAAACUUUAGUUCUAUUGAUUGAUCUAAACAACAAAUAUGGUAAUUUUGGAUAUGGCAAUUAUGUACUCACUAAAGAUGGUUAAAGAUGUUUCAUGUGGUGUUUUAUUUUAACAUAAUAUUUAUGGUGGCUACAGAACCAUAUUAUUCCUGAUUGCAUAAUAUAAAUAUUUUUGUAGUCAUAGUAUUAUUUCUCGGACUAUUCUUGACAAAGCCCACGAAUUUGCAAUAGCCACCAUGCUAGUUAUUUUGAUAAUAACAGAUAAAUCGCUUCAUAAAAGACCUUUACUAUUGCCACGAUGCAAAAUCUGCAUGGGCCGAAUUGAUUAGUUUGGAUUCCAAUUAAUCAAAGAAUCAUCCCAGAGACGAAAGGGAUUAAAUUGCAAAAGAUUCUCCCAAAUACUCCAUUAGAUGCAGGGAUAUGAUGAUACUGGCGGUGCCCAUGUUGUGAUUUGGGAUGGAUUCUCCCAUGAAUCCAAAAAUAAUUAAAUUAUGGAUCAAUUAUCUUCAAACGCUUCUGCAAGGAACUGAUAAUUAAUAAAAAAACACACUUUCUCAUCGUCGUUGAUGAUGAGGUGGAGAAGUUGCACCAAUGGGCACUAAAUUAAACAUGCUAUAUCUUAAUUAUUUAGGAUGAACAGAAAAGUUAGUGGAGCAUUGCUGAUUGCUGAUGUUAGAUGCACUCUCUUAGGUUCUGGUAGAUGCUUAAUUAAGUAUGUGUUGUUCUCGAUAAGCACAUUCAUGUGCUAGUGCAAGAUAUUGAUGGCACACUGUAAUAUUCUCUCCGUUUUUUAUUGGGCUUAUAAUUUUUUCUGCCUUUUUCCUAAAUAGCGCGCACCGGCCCCCCCACCCGCCCGCGCGAUUACUCGGUCAACAUGUGCGGCAGUUGCAUGCGGAGAGCAGCGCUUGCUACCGGCUGGCUUAGCGUUAAUAUUCGUGCAAAAAAAAUAUACGCCCUACAAAAGUAAAGGAGGGAGUACAUAUUUGGUGUGUUGUAAUGCAAAUAAGUUAACAUGGCAGAGCAUGACGAAAAGCCAAGGAGAGGCUAAUUUCAUAUCAAACAACGCUAUGCAAUAUUUUUUAUAAAAUAUUUGAAUUUGCAGAGUACCUCAUCAAAUUUUAAUUGGAUUCAUACAAUCUUAGAUGUUCAGUUUUAUCGUUUCACAUGGUAAUUGACAUUGCUUAGAAAAGAGGGGAAUGAGAAAAAAAAAUCCACAUAUAUUAUCUAAACAUUAACAUGCAUAGACAUACUAUAUUAGUCAUUAGGGCACAUUUGAGAGGUUUUCUAAAUUAUAGGAGAAUUAUAUAAAAUAUUUAACUAUUAUUUCUGUGUAAUUAACUAAAAGUUAAAAGAAAGUGAGACAAGAAUCAUUAAAUUAUAUGUCGUAACACGUUCUGUUGGUUAAUGUGAUUUUGUCUUGUUCUGUGGCCGGUUGUGCAGCUCGCUAAUUAAAGAGGGCUGGGCAGCACAUUGCUGAUUGAAGGGAGCUAGGCGCCCUAGGCGUGGAGGUAGAUUCUUGUGCACAUUAGCUAUGAAGUAGAUAGAACACUAGCGUAUCUACAGGAUGGACAGGGGGUCUAUACUUUGGGUUGCCAAAGCAAAAAAGAAUAACAAUAUAUAUAAAUAAAUUUAUUAAAAAAAGACAUUGUUGGAGCACCCUGGCACAUUUGGCUGAAUACGCCACUGAUGGAAUAUCUAUGUCCGACUGUAAACAAUCGUGCCAUCGAUACAUCAUACAUAAACUCUGCUGAUGCACAUUAAACAUACAUAGUAAAAAGAAAAUUGCAACUUGGAAGGGGGUUGCAGCCUAUUUUGGCCUCCACCACCCUCCGCAGUGAGGAUGGGCAUUUUAGCCGAUGACGGAACCAAAUAAACCAUAUCCGAGCCGAAUAAACCGAAACCGUAAAAAAAUCGGUCACCGAUUCGGUCAUCUCUUCUUAGGAACCGAAAAUUCGGUCUGGUGCCUCGUGUAACUGAACGAACCGAUAAUAAAACCCUUAAAUGCAUUAAUGGCCCAACAUCUACAUAAUAGCCCAGCCCACAUCCAGUAUCUCAAAGCACUAGCCCAGCCUACGGCCCAAUACCUCUAAGCCUAACUCCCGUAGCACCCCAUUCGGUCUUCGUUCUCCAGCACUCCAGCACGAAGUGCCCAGCGGCUCCUUCUCUCCUUCUCCCGAUUCCCCACCAAGGCCUAACCCUAGCCGCCGUUGCCUCUCCUUUUCUCCACCACGACGGGCAGCAGCAGCAUGUAGCUGGCGCAUAACUCUCCCCUCCGGUCUUUCCGCCUCCCCUUCAGUUGCUGGCACCUUCUUCCCUUUGAGAUUGGAGAUUCACCUUUUCAACCGGGCCAGUGAUUGGAAAUUAUAAGACGCUGAUCGGUACACCUGAUGUUUGUAGAAUCUGUUGCAAAUCGAUUUCAGAAUUGCGUUUUCUUUUCUUCGAUUCUCUAAUUUAUCGAUCGAUUCGGCCUAAACCGAAGACCGAACCGAAGUUCCGGUCCACCGAAAUGGUUAGCAGUUUUGCAAAUGACCGAUCAGUUUUGAUUUUUUUAGAACCGAUUUUUUUAGAAACCGGGAGAACCGAACCCAUCGGUUUGGUUAAACCGAUUGCCCACCCUCGUGAGUCCUAUACUCCGCUUCAUGCAUGCAAUGGAUAGGACGCGGCUCUUUCUCACUUGAUUGAUUUUUUUAAAAAGAAACGUCAUGCACUAGAGCCAUUGGAUUAAGAUGUGGACGUCAUUCUCAGUUUUUCACUUCCCACACAAUGUUGUUGGAUUAAAAUCUAGCGGUCAACACAUCGACAUAUUUCUAACUAAAAAUUAGUCGAUUUUUCUAUAACAAAACCGUAAAAGAUAUUACAAUGCCAUCUAUACCACCCUGCAGUCCAAAAAAGUUAAACCCACCCUGGGGCGGACACGUACCACUUACACUUUCGUCCUGCCUUUGUGCAAAGUUAUUAACCUAGAAUUGCCAAUAAGUUUAUAUUUAAGCCAGCACACUAGCACAGAGAUACCAACGAGGAACUCACUGCAUGGAUUUGCAUAUUUUUAAGCGUAACUUUUUAUUUUAUUUUAUUUUAUUUCACGGGGAGAUCAGUGGUGUUUUCUUAGACGCAAGUUCUUCUUAGACGCUAGGAUAUUGAAACCACGCAGUAGUGUUUGAUACGUAAAACUGUUGUAUGAUUAUGAAGGCACGUGGUAGGAACUUUAUAAAAGUGAGAAUCAAAUUGACACUUUAGAUAGAUCGAUGGAAUUGAAUGACACCUUUUACUCCGGUUGUAUAUUUUAUUGGGGUUUCCAUACUUCCACAGCGAACACAGUAGCUAUGAAUGCUUUUUUAGGAGUAGUGGAUACUUUACUGAGGAAUUUUGACAUUCUACGUGAGAUCUGCAAGUAUAAGGUGCCAUGCCUUCGUGUCCAACCCUAAGGCCUGCCGUUGGUUGCCAGGUCUUUAGCUGUAGCUAGUUAGGCUGGGACUAGCUUGGGUCAUCAUGGCAUCUCUCAAGGAAAAAUUGAACUUGGAAGAACCACUUCUUGAGGUGAGUCUCUGCUAGUUCAUCUAUACUGAAAUCUAUUGUUGCUUGAUUUGUCUCUCGUUUUCCCUUUUUUAUGUGCUUCUACGUCGCGAUUAUUUGUAAACAUGCAUGUUUCUGUUCAUUUAUCUGUCGGAGAAUGCAGAUUAGCACAUUCUAUAUGCAUGACCGGCACAUUGACGUGUGAGAUCUGCAAAAUGCUGGGCUACAUGCCUGGUGCAAUGCUGUUUUUUCUCAUAACCUUGUCUGGCACAUAUUUGUGCCUGCUAUUCAAAUACCGGUUCUAUUCCUUGGCUCCUUUUUUAUCAAAAAUAUUUAGGUUUGUCUUGUCUUAUAAACAGGAUCUAGCAGUACACAGAGGCGACAGGAUUGUUGACAUUGAAGGAACUCCAACUCCUGGAACGAAGCACCGUACUGGCAGUUGGAAAGCAUGCACUUUCAUCCUAGGUAAAACGGAAAAGAAACUAUCAAACUUUCAUGAAGAGAUUUGGCAGCAGGAAAAAAUGCCAAGGGUGCUUCAUUUCCACGGAUGCAUGAUUUCUUCCAUGAAUGUUUUCUUUGUACUUGCCAUUUCACUUGGAAUUUAUACUACUGUACUUCUGAAUCCCUCAGUUGCACUGCAGUGACUGAAUGCUUUGAGGAGCUAGCCUACUACGGGAUCCAGUUCAACCUGGUCACUUUCCUCAAGACGGUGCUGCAGGAGAGCAAUGUCUCCGCGGCAAGGAACUACACGAAUUGGCAGGGGACUUGCUACAUCGCACCCCUCGUCGGAGCUGUCGUGGCAGAUUCCUACCUGGGAAGAUACCUGACCACGCUGGCUUUCUUCGCAGUUUACCUAGCUGUAAGCACAGAAUCCUAUUCUCACCAAAUCUUCGAGAAAAUUGUCUUGAGUAUUCAUAGUUUUCACUAACCAGAUUGUUCAAACAAUUUGUGUUUUUUUUUGCCACACAAGGGGAUGGCUGCAAUGUCGAUUUCAGCAUCGUUCCCGGCGUGCACCGGGCUCGACUGCCGGCAGGAGGGCUCGUCAUCGUCCCAGUCCGCCGUGUUCUUCCUCGGCCUGUACAUGAUGGCCAUCGGAGCCGGCGGCAUCAAGCCCUGCGUCUCCUCCUUCGGCGCUGACCAGUUCGACGACAGCGUCCCGUCGGAGCGGCUGAAGAAGAGCUCCUUCUUCAACUGGUUCUUCUUCUCCAUCUACAUCGGCAGCUUCGCCUCCGGCACCGUCGUCGUGUGGAUGCAGGAUAACUUGGGGUGGGUCGUGGGCCUCUGGAUCCCGACCCUGUUCAUCGCGCUUGCCAUGGCGAGCUUCCUGCUGGGCUCCGGUUCGUACAGAGUGCAGAAGCCUCUGGGGAGCCCCCUGGUGAGAGUCUCCCAGGUCCUCGUCGCGGCUGUCCGGAAACGGAACGCGAGCCUGCCAAAGGACGCUUCUCUUCUCUACGAGCUGCCUGAGGGCGCGUCCAUGGCGGAUGGCACCAAGAAACUGCAGCACACACCCGUGCUCAGGUAAUUAAUUAGCAAGGUAGCAAUCUCAAAUUCUCGGUCAUUAAUUUUCUGUGGCUGAUGGAAAGCUUUAAUUUUUCGUGCCCAGUGCCCUGGACAAGGCUGCGGUGAUCGCUUCGACGGAAGAGCUCUGUUCUUCCGAUCCAUGGAGGCUCUGCACCGUGACGCAAGUGGAGGAGCUCAAGGCCGUGAUCGGGAUGCUCCCGAUCUGGGCCACGGGGAUCGUGUACUUCGCCGUGCUGGCGCAGUUCUCCUCGACGUUCCUGGAGCAAGGGAGGAUGAUGAACACAACGGUCACCAUCCCCGGCAGAAGCUUCUCCAUCCCGCCGGCGUCGCUGGCCUCCUUCGACGCCGUGAGCGUCAUCCUCUUCGUUCCCGUCUACGAUAGGGUGCUCGUCCCGGCGGCGCGGCGGCUGACGGGCAACGACCGCGGGCUCUCGGAGCUCCAGCGGUUCGGGGCCGGCCUGUUCCUCUCCGUCCUGGUCAUGGCUGCAGCCGCCUUGGUCGAGACCUUCCGCCUGCAAACCAUGGCGGCCGCGGCCGCGGGCGACGAAGGCGAGAAGAAGAUGUGCAUCCUGUGGCAGGUGCCGCAGUACCUGCUGGUGGGGGCGAGCGUGGUGUUCGCGUGCGUGGGGCAGUCGGAGUUCUUCUACAACGAGGCGCCGGAGUCCAUGAGGAGCCUCUGCGCCGCGCUGGGGCUGCUCACCGUCUCGCUCGGGAGCUACCUCAGCUCGCUGCUCGUCACCGUGGUGUCCGCCGUCACGACGAAGGGCGGCCGGGAGCCAGGGUGGAUACCGGAUGAUCUUGAUGAGGGCCACCUGGACCGGUUCUUCUGGCU
rnacentral:lncRNA from 1 species